rnacentral:misc_RNA from 1 species
GCCAUUUUGAUGGUGACGCUUGUAUUGGAGAUCGUGGUCUUUCCAACCAGUGACGAAGCCACUGGAGUUUUGACGUGGCUGCUACGUACCUGCCCGCUUGCCCACUCGUAUUGCAGCAAAGUUGGUGACGAGAAAUACGUAACUGGGCUACUGGUCCCCAGGAUAUGGAAAGUAUGGUCGAAGAAAACGGAUCAGCCGUUGACCCAUUGUCGCCGGAUUCCCAUAGCGGUGAUUCGGCACCAGCAAUCGCUACCUCGGUACAAUCCUUGAGCAGAUCUCAACUGCAAACUCAUCACCUGGUAGCCUCCACCAGCAUUGUGCAACUUACGUUACCUACGUCGGGGACGACGCAGGUACAAUCAGUUAUCCAACCAAAUCAUCAAUCUGUGAUCCAGAGUGCUACAAAUAUACAACCUGUAGCUAUUUCAAAAGGAAAUGUAAUACUUGUCAGUAAACCUAAUUCUGUUAUACAAUCAGCGCAAGGAAGUUUGCAAGCUUUACAGGUCGUUGAAACAGCCAGUGAUGAGAGUUGUUCAGAUGACGAAUCACCUAAAAAACGACGAGAUUUACUCACAAGACGUGCUUCAUAUCGUAAAAUCCUAAAUGAUUUAAGCGCGAGUGAAAUAGCCGCGGGUCCUUUGCCUCCCCUUGAAUCCUCUCUAGAGUGUGAUUCUAAUGUGGACAGUGACAUGUCUUCUCAUUCACUGCAAUACCAAACAGUAAUACCGGCGGGAACAAUACAAAUAGCUACCCAGGGGGAGGGUGUGCCAGGGCUUCAUACGCUGACAAUGAGCAAUGCAACAACGGCAGGAGGUACAAUAGUGCAGUAUGCACAGGGCCAGGAUACACAAUUUUUUGUCCCAGACUACACAGGCCACGGAGUCGUUGUUGAAGACGCAGCCAGAAAGCGUGAGAUGAGGUUGCAGAAGAAUAGAGAAGCAGCGCGUGAAUGUCGAAGAAAAAAAAAGGAAUAUAUUAAGUGUCUGGAAAAUAGAGUAGCUGUAUUAGAAAACAGAAACCAAACGCUCAUUGAUGAGCUUAAAACACUAAAAGAGUUGUAUCAGCAUCAGCAAAAGGCUGAAUGAGAUUCGAAAUUUGUAAUUAUUAUUUUACGGAUGUCUUUAAGCAGACCAAUGAACAAUCUUAUGCAGCGUGUAUAAAUGAUUAUUUAUGAUUCUCAAUUCUACUAAGAGGUGAUUUGUUUUCAUCUUCAAUAAAAAAAAAUAUAUAUAUUUAUAAUUAAAAGAAGUUAACAAACAAAUGUUUUAAUUAAAAUCAUUGAACAAAACCAUUCUUAUAAAUAGGUGUCUGUAUCAUAUUGUAUUUAUGUAUUGAAGUAUGAUGAAUCUGAUGAUAAUGAUGAUAAUAAUAAUAAGAAUAUUAAAAUAAUAAUAAUUUUAAUUAAUACAUUAAUAAAUGUAAUGAUACUAAUGAUGAAUGUAAGGUUUGUGACUUGCGGUGACUUAAGCCAGAAGCCAAAGGUUUUGUUCGUGGAGCAAACGAUUGGAAGAAAAAAAAAAAAAAAAACGGAAAUUAUUAAUAUUAAUCGUGCACA